GGAGGUCCCAAGCGUUGUUCGGAUUUACUGGGGCGUAAAGGGUGCGUAGGUGGCCAGGAAAGUUUGAUGUGAAAGCUCCGAGCUCAACUCGGAAAAUGCAUUGAAUACUACUUGGCUUGAGGAUCGGAGGGGAGACUGGAAUUCUCGGUGUAGCAGUGAAACGCGUAGAUAUCGAGAGGAACACCAGUGGCGAAGGCGAGUCUCUGGACGAUUCCUGACACUGAGGCACGAAAGCUAGGGGAGUAAACAGGAUUAGAUACCCUGGUAGUCCUAGCCGUAAACGGUGCACACUUGCUGUAGGAGGAUUCGACCCCUUCUGUGGCGGAGCAAACGCGUUAAGUGUGCCGCCUGGGGAGUACGGUCGCAAGAUUAAAACUCAAAGAAAUUGACGGGGGCCUGCACAAGCGGUGGAGUAUGUGGCUUAAUUCGAUGCAACGCGAAGAACCUUACCAAGUCUUGACAUCCCUCUGACCGGAACUUAACCGUUCCUUUCCUUCGGGACAGAGGAGACAGGUGGUGCAUGGUU
rnacentral:rRNA from 1 species